rnacentral:lncRNA from 1 species
GAAAGUUGUCGGGAAUGCUGCAGGGUAUUUGGUGACAGUUGUCCUAGAUAAGGACUGUAAAUCUCAACUACAGUAGGAACAAUGGUGAGCCGCUGUUAGAGGUCACUGGGUUUCAACUCCUGUUCAGGACCAUCACAACUGCAGUCGGCAAAGAGAACAGUGAGUACCAGAGCAGAGGGCUGUCAGUCAGACACAUCCCUGAGAUCCUCUGCCUGCUGUACCUUCGUCUUCUCACUGCACCACAAACAUUGCCCUGUGAAUUUUGUUAGCAGCUCCAGAAAUAAAGUACAUGGACUUCCUUGGUUGGCCUGGAAUUUGGAACCUGCUGUGUAGAUCAGGUUGGCCCAUGGAUCUUUUACCCACACCACCGUUCCGUUUGGUUGACUGCCAUUGCUAGUGCGGGGAUGGGAAGGCAUGCUGGGGAAUGGAGAGGGCUGAGACGUGUGGCAGCUCCAGAGCAAAGCAUAUGCUGUCUGGAAGGCCUCGACAGAGAGAAGGGCAUAAAACAAAUGGAGUUCAUGAAUAUACAAUUUUUAUGGUACACAAUAGUGACAUCUAGACUUCAGAGACUAGAGAUGGAGUCAUUCUUUGGAAGACAUGUGAUACCAUCUCAAGCCAAAUGUGUGUGCCUG